AUUUAUAUAGUUUAAUAAAAACAUUACAUUUUCAUUGUAAAAUUAAAACAUAAUUUUAUAAAUA
rnacentral:tRNA from 1 species